ensembl:miRNA
UCAAGCAGCAUUGUACAGGGCUAUGAAGGC